rnacentral:rRNA from 1 species
UACGUAGGGCGCAAGCGUUGUCCGGAAUUAUUGGGCGUAAAGAGCUCGUAGGCGGCUUGUCACGUCGAUUGUGAAAGCCCCGAGGCUUAACCUCGGGUCUGCAGUCGAUACGGGCUAGCUAGAGUGUGGUAGGGGGAGAUCGGAAUUCCUGGUGUAGCGGUGAAAUGCGCAGAUAUCAGGAGGAACACCGGUGGCGAAGGCGGAUCUCUGGGCCAUUACUGACGCUGAGGAGCGAAAGCGUGGGGGAGCGAACAGG